rnacentral:rRNA from 1 species
UACGUAGGGUGCAAGCGUUAAUCGGAAUUACUGGGCGUAAAGGGCGCGUAGGCGGUUGGAUAAGUCAGCUGUGAAAACCACGGGCUUAACUCGUGGCCUGCAGUUGAGACUGUCUGGCUUGAGUGUGGGAGAGGAGAGUGGAAUUCCUGGUGUAGCGGUGAAAUGCGUAGAUAUCAGGAGGAACACCGGUGGCGAAGGCGGCUCUCUGGACCACAACUGACGCUGAGGCGCGAAAGCUAGGGGAGCAAACAGG